ACAGGCAACUGGUGCCCAUGAGGUCACCUAGGGGAGACCCCACGUGUGUGUGAUGUACAUUUUUAAGGAGCUACUGGUACAGCAGUGCACAUUAAUGAGCAGGUGAAAGCUACAGAGCAGCUCCAGUAGCAGCAUGACAGUGUGAAAUUGUAAGUGGUGAUGUCUGAAGAUGAGUUUGGGAAAUGCAGACUCUGCCUUUCUCGUGCACUCAUAUGAAAAGUCACCUGGGGAGCACUGGAUUCUAGUGAAUACCCUCAAGUAAACUUCUAAGAAAACUACAGAUUUGGAGCUUCAAAUGCCUUGGUGAAGUUUCUAAGAACUUGGAUGUCUAAAAAGUAACUUGUGGUUCAAAAAGAGCAAUUAUAAAAAUGGCAAAGCCAUGACCAAUCACAAUCUCUCCUUUGAUGAGACUGUGGCUGAUGCUCUAUACCAGUGAUCCAUGGAUUCCCUGCUUGAUUACACAGAACAGGGCAGGAAAUUAUCCAACUUGCAAGAGAAUGCUAGCUGAAAAUCGUCCCAUCUUAUGGAAAACCGGUAGAAAAUCCAGGAGGUGAAAUGGAGAACAUGUUCAACUGGAGAAUUCUAUUUCUUAUGCAUGUCAAAUAUGUUUCCUUCUCCUGCACUAGCUGUUCCUUCUGCUGGAAGAAUAUUUAUAUGACUGGCUAAACUUACUGUUCAGAUCUGAGAGUAAAUUUGCAUUUCUCAGAGAGUUAGUUCCUGACCACCCAACUCAAAGUACUAACACUCUAUCUAGUCCUUUUCUUGUUUGUUUUUCAUGUUUAUUUUAUUUCCCACCACUAGAAUCUAAGCUUUUUGAGAGCCGGCACUUUGUCCAUCUGGGUCACUGAAUCCCAAUGAGUUAUUCACAGAUGUUUUUAGUACAUAGUAGGUGAAAUGCAUAGAUAAUAUUUCAACUAAGAAAGUGAACAGAAGAAAGUUGGUCAUUGACUUAUUACUAGUAGCUCACUACUCUCUAUGUAUGAAGACAUCACUUACUGAUGGUUAUGAAGCAGAUGCUCAAUAAUUUUUUUUUAAUAAACAGGAGGGCAAGGAGCCAAUGUCGUUUGUAGUGGAGGGUAGUCAUGGACACUGAGAGUAUGUUUUAGACACAAUUUAUCAAUGGCCAGCCUCAGGCUGAGAUAAAAUAUAACAGAGUUUGCCAAGGUCUUUCAUGCCCAGGCAGUCAGUGCUCACAUGUUCCCUGUAACUGCCUGGGUACCUUUCCCUGAGUCAUCAGUCCUGUGUCUUAAUUCUUUUAGUAGCACCUGCAUUCUGCUCCUUUAACCUUCCAUCAAUCAGCUCUUAUAUACUGUACAUCUCUUUCUCAAGAAGCCUUGUGCAACGCAUGGUGAUUUCAACAGUGAUGAAUAUUUCCUUCCCUCUGACUUCUUAUGAAACCAGGAUAAUGAAGCAAAUUAGAAUGUAUUUUAACAUCACUCUCCCUUGUUUGCUGUCCAGCUAAUGAACAGUGGACUGGCUGAAGAAAGACCAGCAUGAAGCAGAAAAAUUGUUUGGUGAAAAAUUCAAGAAUGGGCCAAUAUCCAUUAAAAGAUUGAAAGAGGAGAUGUUUUGGGUCCACCUCCACUGGGGACAGAAAUUCCAUUCUGCCAACACCCCCUCCAUAUCCAUUGUCUGAAAGAGGCACUGCUGUUGAGUCAUAAGUAGGCUCCAGUGGCCCAUGUUGACCCUUUGAAAUUCCCAUGGGACUGUCAAUUCUAUCUAUUCUGGGAGCAGCCAACCAUAGCUAAUUACAGGCCUGUGGUAUUAGUGGAACAAGCUUCAGCUUUUUACAUUGGCUUGAUGGAGAACUGAGUAGAUAUAAAAGUGUUACAUGUUUUUCUGUAAUCAUAAUAACGUAAUCUUGUUUCAUAAUCAUUAAUAAUUCCUAACAUUUAUUGAAGAGUUAAUAUGUGUUGAGUAUUUUUGUAAGUGCUUAACAUGCAGUUUUUAAAAUUUUAACUCCUUUUUACAGAAAAGGUUUACAGAACGCCAGAGGGGUAGGUGAUUUUGCCAGAGCUCUUUUAGGUAAUAGGAAACAAAGCCAUAAAUUUGAUCCCAGCUAGUUUGACCCCAUAGUCCAAGCAUUAAUCCCUGAACCACACUAGCUCUGGCAAGGGUAUAAAUGAGCAGUGAUUACUAACUGACUUAAAACACAAUAGGAAUUAUCCCCAGUGAAUUCCAACAUAUAAAGGGACACUAAUUCUUGCCAUAGAAAAUCUAUUUGAUAAGUAUGAACAAGAAUUCCAAGGUUAUCAAAAAUAAUUUCUAAUAGUUUAAUUCUUUAAAAGAAAUGGUGUAUCUCAUGGACACAGGAAGGGGAACAUCACACUCCGGGGACUGUUGUUGGGUGGGGGGAGCGGGGAGGGAGAGCAUUAGGAGAUAUACCUAAUGCUAAAUGACAAGUUAAUGGGUGCAGCACACCAACGUGGCACAUGUAUACAUAUGUAACAAACCUGCACAUUGUGCAAAU
rnacentral:lncRNA from 10 species